rnacentral:rRNA from 1 species
GCGGUAUUAUGACCGUGCGAAGGUAGCAUAAUCAUUAGUCUUUUNAAUUAAGGGCUNGUAUGAAUGGUUGANCGACAAAUAAACUGUCUUUAUUGGAUUAGUUGAACUUAACUUUUAAGUGAAAAGGCUUAAAUAAUCUAGAGGGACGAUAAGACCCUAUAAAGUUUUACAUUAAGGUUGUUAAANAGUGGUUUAGGCGGAAAAAGUUUAUUAGCAAUUAGANUGUUUUGUUGGGGUGACAAGAAUAUAAUUAAUGUAACUGUUCUUUUNNANAAACAAAUAUAUUUGUUUAGGUGAUCCUUAAUUUAGGAUAAUAGAAUAAAUUACUUUAGGGGAUAACAGCNGUUAUUUUUUUUAANNAGUUCUUAUCUACAAAAAAGUUUGCNGACCUCGAUGUUGAAUUAAAGGNUUCU